rnacentral:rRNA from 1 species
UACGUAGGGCGCGAGCGUUGUCCGGAAUCAUUGGGCGUAAAGAGCUCGUAGGCGGCCGGUUGCGUCUGCUGUGAAAUCCCGGGGCUUAACCCCGGGCGUGCAGUGGAUACGGGCUGGCUGGAGGCAGGCAGGGGAGAAUGGAAUUCCCGGUGUAGCGGUGAAAUGCGCAGAUAUCGGGAGGAACACCGGUGGCGAAGGCGGGUUGCUGGGCCGACACUGACGCUGAUGCGCGAAAGCCAGGGGAGCGAACGGG